rnacentral:rRNA from 1 species
UGGGGAAUUUUCCGCAAUGGGCGAAAGCCUGACGGAGCAAUGCCGCGUGGAGGUGGAAGGCCUACGGGUCGUCAACUUCUUUUCUCGGAGAAGAAACAAUGACGGUAUCUGAGGAAUAAGCAUCGGCUAACUACGUGUCAG